GAGGAGGUAGCCAAUACUGUUUUAUAUAUAUAUAUAUAUAUAUAUUAAUUGGGGUAGCCCCCAAAAUAUUGGGACAUAUAAAAAAGAAAACUCUGUUCCGCAGAGUAGCUGUUGACAUUAUAGUUGCGCAGGAACUUUGUUGACUCUAGAGAACCAAUUGCACAUCCCCGUGGCAGCGACUUUGCAAUGCGGAUGUCAUCCAUAUCAACUUUCGAUGCCAGUUUCUGCGCCUAUCAUGGUGACCACAGGUAACGGGAAUCAGGGUUCCAUUCCGUACAGGGUCCUUGAGAAACGGCUACCACAUGCAAGGAAGGCGGCAGGCGUGCAAAUGACGCACUCCCGACGCGGGAAGGUAGUGAC